rnacentral:rRNA from 1 species
AUGGCGGCUUCCCUCCGCGCGGCGGCGACGAGGAUGCUGCGCCCGGCGGUGCUUCCAGGGGAGGGGCGUCGCCUGCUCGUCCACACCCAGCAGCUUUCCAAAUCAACCCGCGCCUACGAGGAAGGAAACCAUGCCUUGAAUGAAUACCGUGCGUCGCUUAUCCAGCAGAGGAAGGAGCAGCUGUACGUUCUCAUUGCCGGCGCCGAGGCCAAUUCCCGCACCUUCUUGCUGAACAAAAGUCUGCUCAAGGAUCUCUCUACACAAGUCAAGCCUAGACCAGAGGACCCUCAAUGGCGCAAGAUAUGUAGAACCAAGAAGGUGACCAACUUCACUAGGUCGGCGGGUAUUCUUGUUAUUUCUGGGCUCACUUAUUAUGCCUUGACUUCCCGUCCUGAAAUCGUAAGGUAUGGUGACUAUCUUGUUACUGCUGAGAGUGUGCCCAUGAUACAAGAGAGGCUGGAGGCGCAAGUAAUACAAGAGAGACUGCGGAGAGUUGCUACUGCUGAGGGAGUGAACAAGCAAGAUGGACAUCAGCCUGUUGCUACUGCUGAGGAAGUGGACAAGCAAGAUGAAUGUCAGUGUGUUGCUAGUGCUGAGGAAGUGGACAAGCAAGAUGGAUAUCAGCCUGUUGCUAGUGCUGAGGGAGUGGACAAGCAAGAUGGAUAUCAGCCUGUUGCUAAAGCAAGUUGA